GGGCAACCUGCCCAAAAGAGGGGGAUAACACUUGGAAACAGGUGCUAAUACCGCAUAACCAUAGUUACCGCAUGGUAACUAUGUAAAAGGUGGCUAUGCUACCGCUUUUGGAUGGGCCCGCGGCGCAUUAGCUAGUUGGUGGGGUAAAGGCUUACCUAGGCAAUGAUGCGUAGCCGAACUGAGAGGUUGAUCGGCCACAUUGGGACUGAGACACGGCCCAAACUCCUACGGGAGGCAGCAGUAGGGAAUCUUCCACAAUGGGCGAAAGCCUGAUGGAGCAACGCCGCGUGGGUGAAGAAGGUCUUCGGAUCGUAAAACCCUGUUGUUAGAGAAGAAAGUGCGUGAGAGUAACUGUUCACGUUUCGACGGUAUCUAACCAGAAAGCCACGGCUAACUACGUGCCAGCAGCCGCGGUAAUACGUAGGUGGCAAGCGUUAUCCGGAUUUAUUGGGCGUAAAGGGAACGCAGGCGGUCUUUUAAGUCUGAUGUGAAAGCCUUCGGCUUAACCGGAGUAGUGCAUUGGAAACUGGGAGACUUGAGUGCAGAAGAGGAGAGUGGAACUCCAUGUGUAGCGGUGAAAUGCGUAGAUAUAUGGAAGAACACCAGUGGCGAAAGCGGCUCUCUGGUCUGUAACUGACGCUGAGGUUCGAAAGCGUGGGUAGCAAACAGGAUUAGAUACCCUGGUAGUC
rnacentral:rRNA from 1 species